UACGAAGGGGGCUAGCGUUGCUCGGAAUCACUGGGCGUAAAGCGCACGUAGGCGGGUCUUUAAGUCAGGGGUGAAAUCCUGGAGCUCAACUCCAGAACUGCCUUUGAUACUGAGGAUCUCGAGUCCGGGAGAGGUGAGUGGAACUCCGAGUGUAGAGGUGAAAUUCGUAGAUAUUCGGAAGAACACCAGUGGCGAAGGCAGCACUCUGGGACGUGACUGACGCUGAGACGCGAAAGCGUGGGGAGCAAACAGGG
rnacentral:rRNA from 1 species